GGGAAGGUGGCUCAGUGGUAGAGCACUUGCCUUGCAUGCAUGAGGCCCUGGGUUCAUUCCUCAGCACCCCA
rnacentral:tRNA from 1 species